GAUGAACGCUAGCGGGAGGCCUAACACAUGCAAGUCGAACGGGAAGGGUAGCAAUACCCCGAGAGUGGCGCACGGGUGAGUAACGCGUAUGCAACCUGCCUUUAACUGAGGGAUAGCCCAUAGAAAUGUGGAUUAAUACCUCAUAGUUCUUAACCCCUGCAUGGGGGAUAAGAUAAAGCUCCGGCGGUUAAAGAUGGGCAUGCGUGACAUUAGCUAGUUGGUGAGGUAACGGCUCACCAAGGCAGCGAUGUCUAGGGGUUCUGAGAGGAUGAUCCCCCACACUGGUACUGAGACACGGACCAGACUCCUACGGGAGGCAGCAGUGAGGAAUAUUGGUCAAUGGGCGCAAGCCUGAACCAGCCAUCCCGCGUGCAGGAUGACGGCCCUACGGGUUGUAAACUGCUUUUGUACACCAAGAAAAACCCCCACGUGUGGGGAUCUGACGGUAGUGUAUGAAUAAGCAUCGGCUAACUCCGUGCCAGCAGCCGCGGUAAUACGGAGGAUGCGAGCGUUAUCCGGAUUCAUUGGGUUUAAAGGGUGCGUAGGCGGCUUUUUAAGUCAGUGGUGAAAUCCUGCCGCUUAACGGUAGAAUUGCCAUUGAUACUGAAGAGCUUGAGUCCAGUUGAGGUAAGCGGAAUGUGUAGUGUAGCGGUGAAAUGCUUAGAUAUUACACAGAACACCAAUUGCGAAGGCAGCUUACUAAACUGUAACUGACGCUGAUGCACGAAAGCGUGGGGAGCGAACAGGA
rnacentral:rRNA from 1 species